rnacentral:lncRNA from 1 species
GGAGUUUGUUAGAGCUAUCGCUGCUGCAUUCUUGACUUCAAGAGCAUAGAGAGGAGGACUUGCUCAGGUUUAUCUUCACUCUUCUUCUGUGAGAGUGACAGUAAGUGACAAGUUGCUUGUUUCCAGCCUAUGUGUAAGAAACUAAGAACGAGAUAUAUAGGUUGGCAGUUUCUUAGGCACAAUAUAAGUGCUUGAGGUAGUGGAAUCAUGAAUAUCUGCGUGGUCUUGCAUAUAGUAUUUCAACAUUCUACUUUGGUCUUUGA